rnacentral:rRNA from 1 species
UCUAGUAUAAAUCUGGUUCUAGAUGAAACUGCGAAUGGCUCAUUAAAUCAGUUCUAGUUUAUUUGAUGGUAUCUCAACUACAUGGAUAACCGUGGUAACAUAGAGCUAAUACAUGCUUGAAAUCCUGACUGGUUGUUCUCGGACAGUCGGAAUGGGAUGUAUUUAUUAGAUCCAAAACCAAUGCGUCAUUUGUAUGGCUUCACGGCUGUGCAAGUGGCGGUUAUGUUGGUGAUUCAUGGUAACUUUUCGGAUCGCAUGGCCUUGUGCUGGCGACGCUUCAUACAAGUUUCUGCCCUAUCAACUGUCGAUGGUAGGGUAUUGGCCUACCAUGGUUGUAACGGGUGACGGAGAAUUAGGGUUCGAUUCCGGAGAGGGAGCCUGAGAAACGGCUACCACAUCUAUGGAUGGCAGCAGGCGCGCAAAUUACCCAAUCCCGACCUGGGGAGGUAGUGACAAUAAAUAACAAUGCGGUUCCAAAUUUGGUUCUGCAAUUGGAAUGAGAACAAUGUAAAUACCUUAACGAGGAGCAAUUGGAGGGCAAGUCUGGUGCCAGCAGCCGCGGUAAUUCCAGCUCCAAUAGCGUAUAUUAAAGUUGUUGCAGUUAAAAAGCUCGUAGUUGGAUUUCGGAACGAUCGGGUUGGUCUGCCCUGCGUGGUUUGUACUAGCCUCGGUGUGUAUGGUUGGUCCUUGUGGCUGGCCUGCUACCCGUGUUGCACGUGUGUGUAGCAUGUGAUCGUUCUUCUCCCUCGGAGACGAGGUCUGUCCUUCAUUGGAUGGGCUUUGGAUGCGAGGUGUUUACUUUGAAAAAAUUAGAGUGUUCAAAGCAGGCCUGAUCUCGCUUGAAUACAUUAGCAUGGAAUAAUGGAAUAGGACUCUGUGCCUAUUUUGUUGGUUUGAAGGCAUGGAGUAAUGAUUGAUAGGGACAGUUGGGGGCAUUCGUAUUUAAUUGUCAGAGGUGAAAUUCUUGGAUUUCUGAAAGACGAACAACUGCGAAAGCAUUUGCCAAGGAUGUUUUCAUUAAUCAAGAACGAAAGUUAGGGGUUCGAAGACGAUCAGAUACCGUCGUAGUCCUAACCAUAAACAAUGCCGACUAGGGAUCAGCGUACGUUCGUGUGAUUGGACGUCGUUGGCACCUUACGAGAAAUCAAGAGUGUUUGGGUUCUGGGGGGAGUAUGGUCACAAGGCUGAAACUUAAAGGAAUUGACGGAAGGGCACCACCAGGAGUGGAGCCUGCGGCUUAAUUUGACUCAACACGGGAAACCUCACCAGGUCCGGACAUAGUUAGGAUUGACAGAUUGAGAGCUCUUUCUUGAUUCUAUGGGUGGUGGUGCAUGGCCGUUCUUAGUUGGUGGAGUGAUUUGUCUGGUUAAUUCCGUUAACGAACGA